rnacentral:rRNA from 1 species
AACGAACGCUGGCGGCAGGCUUAACACAUGCAAGUCGAGCGCCCCGCAAGGGGAGCGGCAGACGGGUGAGUAACGCGUGGGAACGUACCCUUUGCUACGGAAUAGCUCCGGGAAACUGGACUUAAUACCGUAUGUGCCCUACGGGGGAAAGAUUUAUCGGCAAAGGAUCGGCCCGCGUUGGAUUAGCUGGUUGGUGGGGUAAUGGCCUACACAGUCAACGAUCCAUAGCGGGUCUGAGGGAAUGGUCAGCCACAUUUGGACUGAGACACGGACCAAACGCCUACGAGAGGCAGCAGUGGGAAAGAUUAGACAAUGGGCGCAAGCCUGGUCCAGCCAUGCCGCGGGAGGGAUGAAGGUCUUAGGAUUGUAAAGCUCUUUCACCGGAGACGAUAAUGACGGUAUCCGGAGAAGAAGCCCCGGCUAACUUCGUGCCAGCCGCCGCCGUAAAAC